rnacentral:rRNA from 1 species
AGCGAACGCUGGCGGCAGGCCUAACACAUGCAAGUCGAACGAACCUUUCGGGGUUAGUGGCGGACGGGUGAGUAACACGUGGGAACGUGCCUUUAGGUUCGGAAUAACUCAGGGAAACUUGUGCUAAUACCGAAUGUGCCCUUCGGGGGAAAGAUUUAUCGCCUUUAGAGCGGCCCGCGUCUGAUUAGCUAGUUGGUUGAGGUAAUGGCUCACCAAGGCGACGAUCAGUAGCUGGUCUGAGAGGAUGAUCAGCCACAUUGGGACGGAGACACGGCCCAAAAUCCUACGGGAGGCAGCAGUGGGGAAUCUUGCGCAAUGGGCGAAAGCCUGACGCAGCCAUGCCGCGUGAAUGAUGAAGGUCGUAGGAUUGUAAAAUUCUUUCACCGGGGACGGUAAUGACGGUACCCGGAGAAGAAGCCCCGGCUAACUUCGUG